rnacentral:tRNA from 1 species
GCGAACGUAGUUCAGUGGUAGAACACCACCUUGCCAAGGUGGGGGUCGCGGGUUCGAAUCCCGUCGUUUGCU